GGAGGUAUAGCUCAGUGGUAGAGUGUUUGCUUAGCAUACAUGAGGUCCUGGAUUCAAUCCACAGUACCUCCG
rnacentral:tRNA from 1 species